CGGAAUUACUGGGCGUAAAGGGCGCGUAGGCGGUUGGAUAAGUCAGCUGUGAAAACCACGGGCUUAACUCGUGGCCUGCAGUUGAGACUGUCUGGCUUGAGUGCGGGAGAGGAGAGUGGAAUUCCUGGUGUAGCGGUGAAAUGCGUAGAUAUCAGGAGGAACACCGGUGGCGAAGGCGGCUCUCUGGACCACAACUGACGCUGAGGCGCGAAAGCUAGGGGAGCAAACAGG
rnacentral:rRNA from 1 species